rnacentral:rRNA from 1 species
GACGAACGCUGGCGGCGUGCUUAACACAUGCAAGUCGAGCGGUAAGGCCCUUUCGGGGGUACACGAGCGGCGAACGGGUGAGUAACACGUGGGUGACCUGCCCUCAGCUCUGGGAUAAGCCUGGGAAACCGGGUCUAAUACUGGAUAUGACUCCAUGACGCAUGUUGUGGGGUGGAAAGCCUUGUGCGGCUGAGGAUGGGCCCGCGGCCUAUCAGCUUGUUGGUGGGGUGANGGCCUACCAAGGCGACGACGGGUANCCGGCCUGAGAGGGCGACCGGCCACACUGGGACUGAGACACGGCCCAGACUCCUACGGGAGGCAGCAGUGGGGAAUCUUGCGCAAUGGGCGAAAGCCUGACGCAGCGACGCCGCGUGAGGGAUGACGGCC